GACGAACGCUGGCGGCGUGCUUAACACAUGCAAGUCGAACGGAAAGGCCCUGCUUUUGUGGGGUGCUCGAGUGGUGAACGGGUGAGUAACACGUGAGUAACCUGCCCUUGACUUUGGGAUAACUUCAGGAAACUGGGGCUAAUACCGGAUAGGAGCUCCUGCUGCAUGGUGGGGGUUGGAAAGUUUCGGCGGUUGGGGAUGGACUCGCGGCUUAUCAGCUUGUUGGUGGGGUAGUGGCUUACCAAGGCUUUGGCGGGUAGCCGGCCUGAGAGGGUGACCGGCCACAUUGGGACUGAGAUACGGCCCAGACUCCUACGGGAGGCAGCAGUGGGGAAUAUUGCACAAUGGGCGGAAGCCUGAUGCAGCAACGCCGCGUGCGGGAUGACGGCCUUCGGGUUGUAAACCGCUUUCGCCUGUGACGAAGCGUGAGUGACGGUAAUGGGUAAAGAAGCACCGGCUAACUACGUG
rnacentral:rRNA from 1 species